rnacentral:rRNA from 1 species
GAUGAACGCUGGCGGCGUGCCUAAUACAUGCAAGUCGAGCGAACGGACGAGAAGCUUGCUUCUCUGCUGUUAGCGGCGGACGGGUGAGUAACACGUGGAUAACCUACCUAUAAGACUGGGAUAACUUAGGGAAACCGGAGCUAAUACCGGAUAAUAUUUUGAACCGCAUGGUUCAAAAGUGAAAGACGGUCUUGCUGUCACUUAUAGAUGGAUCCGCGCUGCAUUAGCUAGUUGGUAAGGUAACGGCUUACCAAGGCAACGAUGCAUAGCCGACCUGAGAGGGUGAUCGGCCACACUGGAACUGAGACACGGUCCAGACUCCUACGGGAGGCAGCAGUAGGGAAUCUUCCACAAUGGGCGAAAGCCUGACGGAGCAACGCCGCGUGAGUGAUGAAGGUCUUCGGAUCGUAAAACUCUGUUAUUAGGGAAGAACAUAUGUGUAAGUAACUGUGCACAUCUUGACGGUACCUAAUCAGAAAGCCACGGCUAACUACGUG